rnacentral:rRNA from 1 species
ACACGAAGCAGGGGGAGCAGGGGCGGUGAAGGGAAGGGUGUGCGCGUGAAGUCGAAUUAAUGUGAGGACAGUGGGCGUAGGGCGUUGCGGAAGUCUGUCGGGAAAUCCCCGGGGUGAACCUGGGAAUGGCUAUGGAGACUGCGAGGCUAGAGGAGGGUAGAGGGGGGGAGAAUUCCACGUGGAGCAGUGAAAUGCGUAGAGAUGUGGAGGAACACCGAUAGCGAAGGCAGCACCAUGGGUCAAAACUGACGCUCAUGCACGAAAGCGUGGGGAGCAAACAGGAUUAGAUACCCGGGUAGUC